AGAGUUUGAUCCUGGCUCAGGAUGAACGCUAGCGGCAGGCUUAAUACAUGCAAGUCGAACGGUAACAGGCGGUAGCAAUACUGCGCUGACGAGUGGCGCACGGGUGCGUAACACGUAUGCAACCUACCCUUUACUGGGGCAUAACCCUGAGAAAUCGGGGCUAAUACUCCAUAGUAUCUUCGGAUGGCAUCAUUUGAAGAUUAAAGUUUCGGCGGUAAAGGAUGGGCAUGCGUCCCAUUAGCUAGUUGGUAAGGUAACGGCUUACCAAGGCGAUGAUGGGUAGGGGUCCUGAGAGGGUUAUCCCCCACACUGGUACUGAGACACGGACCAGACUCCUACGGGAGGCAGCAGUAAGGAAUAUUGGGCAAUGGGCGAGAGCCUGACCCAGCCAUGCCGCGUGCAGGAAGACGGCCCUAUGGGUUGUAAACUGCUUUUAUACGGGAUUAAUCGCCCUGACGAGUCGGGGUUUGUAAGUACCGUAGGAAUAAGCAUCGGCUAACUCCGUGCCAGCAGCCGCGGUAAUACGGAGGAUGCGAGCGUUAUCCGGAAUCAUUGGGUUUAAAGGGUGCGUAGGCGGACUAAUAAGUCAGCGGUGAAAUAUCCCGGCUCAACCGGGAGGCUGCCAUUGAUACUGUUAGUCUUGAGUGUAAGUGAAGUGGGCGGAAUGUGUCAUGUAGCGGUGAAAUGCAUAGAGAUGACACAGAACACCGAUAGCGAAGGCAGCUCACUAAUAUACAACUGACGCUGAGGCACGAAAGCGUGGGGAGCAAACAGGAUUAGAUACCCUGGUAGUCCACGCUGUAAACGAUGAUCACUAGCUGUAUGCGAUACACCGUAUGUGGCUAAGGGAAACCGAUAAGUGAUCCACCUGGGGAGUACGUCGGCAACGAUGAAACUCAAAGGAAUUGACGGGGGCCCGCACAAGCGGAGGAGCAUGU
rnacentral:rRNA from 1 species